rnacentral:rRNA from 1 species
UACAGAGGGGGCGAGCGUUAAUCGGAAUUACUGGGCGUAAAGCGUGCGUAGACGGUUAUCUAAGUCGGAUGUGAAAGCCCCGGGCUCAACCUGGGAAUUGCAUUCGAGACUGAAUAGCUAGGGUGCGGUAGAGGGAAGCGGAAUUUCCGGUGUAGCGGUGAAAUGCGUAGAUAUCCGGAAGAACACCUGAGGCGAAGGCGGCUUGCUGGGCAUGAUCUGACGCUGAGGCGCGAAAGCGUGGGGAGCAAACAGG